GAUGAACGCUGACAGAAUGCUUAACACAUGCAAGUCAACUUGAACUUCGGUUUGGGUGGCGGACGGGUGAGUAACGCGUAAAGAACUUGCCUCACAGCUAGGGACAACAUUUGGAAACGAAUGCUAAUACCUGAUAUUAUGAUUUUAGGGCAUCCUAGAAUUAUGACAGCUAUAUGCGCUGUGAGAGAGCUUUGCGUCCCAUUAGCUAGUUGGAGAGGUAACGGCUCACCAAGGCGAUGAUGGGUAGCCGGCCUGAGAGGGUGAACGGCCACAAGGGGACUGAGACACGGCCCUUACUCUUACGGGAGGCAGCAGUGGGGAAUAUUGGACAAUGGACCAAGAGUCUGAUCCAGCAAUUCUGUGUGCACGAUGAAGUUUUUCGGAAUGUAAAGUGCUUUCAGUUGGGAAGAAAAAAAUGACGGUACCAACAGAAGAAGUGACGGCUAAAUACGUG
rnacentral:rRNA from 1 species